rnacentral:tRNA from 1 species
UCCCUGGUGGCUCAGAUGGUAGAGUAUCUGCCUGCAGUCCAGGAGAUCCAGGUCUGAUCCCUGGGUUGGGAA